UUUAAGUGCAAUCUUCUUAGUCAUCACUUUCAUUUCUGUCUUCUAGGGAAAUCUGACACAGCUAGAAAGCAAUGGAAAACACUAAGGGUUGCAUCAGAUGUUGAAGAGAAACUGAUCAUGUCAUGGAGAUAAAAAUGAUCUAAGACGGAUUUUUAAAAAGCUGGUCAUUUAAAGAAAAAAAUCUAACAACUCUGGACUGUUGACAAACAUUCCCUUUUGCGGUCGCAACUCGUCUUGAAGCCAAAAUGAGUUCCUCUUCCUUGCCCCAAUUACCAUCUGUGAGUAUCCUCCAACACUCCAGUCAACUCACACGCCAUCUCUGAAGGAAGAAACUCUUGUGACUUCAACCCUCACCUUUGAGAACAACUUCUACAUCAGUAAUUCAAGCACGGGAUAGAGCAGGUACUUCACAAACACCCUUA
rnacentral:lncRNA from 1 species